AGUGAACGCUGGCGGUAGGCCUAACACAUGCAAGUCGAACGGCAGCACAGUAAGAGCUUGCUCUUACGGGUGGCGAGUGGCGGACGGGUGAGGAAUACAUCGGAAUCUACUUUUUCGUGGGGGAUAACGUAGGGAAACUUACGCUAAUACCGCAUACGACCUACGGGUGAAAGCAGGGGAUCUUCGGACCUUGCGCGAUUGAAUGAGCCGAUGUCGGAUUAGCUAGUUGGCGGGGUAAAGGCCCACCAAGGCGACGAUCCGUAGCUGGUCUGAGAGGAUGAUCAGCCACACUGGAACUGAGACACGCUCCAGACUCCUACGGGAGGCAGCAGUGGGGAAUAUUGGACAAUGGGCGCAAGCCUGAUCCAGCCAUACCGCGUGGGUGAAGAAGGCCUUCGGGUUGUAAAGCCCUUUUGUUGGGAAAGAAAAGCAUCAGGUUAAUACCCCGCUAUUCUGACGGUACCCAAAGAAUAAGCACCGGCUAACUUCGUG
rnacentral:rRNA from 1 species